rnacentral:rRNA from 1 species
UAAAACCAGCACCUCAAGUGGUCAGGAUGAUUAUUGGGCCUAAAGCAUCCGUAGCCGGCUCUGUAAGUUUUCGGUUAAAUCUGUACGCUCAACGUACAGGCUGCCGGGAAUACUGCAGAGCUAGGGAGUGGGAGAGGUAGACGGUACUCGGGAGGAAGGGGUAAAAUCCUUUGAUCUUUCGAUGACCACCUGUGGCGAAGGCGGUCUACCAGAACACGUCCGACGGUGGGGGAUGAAAGCUGGGGGAGCAAACCGGAUUAGAUACCCGGGUAGUCCCAGCUGUAAACUAUGCAAACUCAGUGAUGCAUUGACUUGUGGUCAAUGCAGUGCUGCAGGGAAGCCGUUAAGUUUGCCGCCUGGGAAGUACGUACGCAAGUAUG